rnacentral:lncRNA from 1 species
GCUGGGUGCAGAUAAGAGACUACAGCUCCCCGCAUCCCAAGCAAAGGUCCCUCCUCUACGGAGCCCCUCCACGCGUCCACUGCGGUUCCGCCGUGCCAAGGGGAGCUUGGCUGUUCACGGGCCUCACCUGCUAGCGAGAAGAUAGCUUGGCCGGGCGGCUGAUCUCACCUUGUAAUUCUGACACUGUGUCUCCCGGGCUUGUCGGCUUCAUGACUUGUGCCCAAAGUUUGAUUUCUCGCAGACCAGGAGGACCCAUUGGACCCCCGGGCUGGCUGCAGGGCCCACACCUGGGUUAGACCUCGCACAGGGACGCUGCUGCCACUGUAAUAAAGCGUGCCUACACGCUUCUGAAACUGGUGUAGGAACAACCUCAGUUCUGUGAAAGGCGGACGCAGCAGGACAGAAUCUCCGUGGACAUCUGUCUGGAGGAGCAAUUUUACUGCGACAUUUUAAAGAAACAAAUUUAAUUGAUUUCCAAGGGUGUCCAUCGCGCUUCCUUCACUGCCUUGAUCAUGUCGGGGUCACCACCUGCGGGGGUUUGUCCUGCAGACCCUGACUCAACGACGGAUGAAUAAUGUACACUGACACAGAUCUUAUGCUUGUCAGUCCUGCUGAGCAUCCAGGCCACUUACAGACUCCAAGAAGAGUCCUGUCAGCCACGGCUCUGACUUGUUGGCCCUCCCGGCAUUUAUUUAGCACACAUUUAAUGACAGAAGUCUCAGGCUGGAAACACUCUUUUUGUAGAACAUACAAAUGGACAUUUCUAAGCACAUUGAGGCCUAUAAUGAAAAAUCAAAUAUCCCACAAUGAAAACUAGAAGGAAGCUAUCUGUGAUAAUGCUUUGUGGUGUAUGGAUUCAUCUCACUGACUGAAACCUGAGUUUUGAUUCACCAGGUUGGAAACACUCUUUUUGUAGAAUGUAUGAAGAGAUAUUUCUGAGGCCUGUUGUGAAAAACUGAGGUUUCCACAAGAAAAACUGGAAACAAGUUAUCUGAGAAAAUGCUUUAUGAUGGGUGAAUUCAUCUCACAAAAUUAAACCUUCGUUUUGAUUCAAAAGGUUGGAACCACUCUAUUUUAAGAAUCUAUGAAGAAAUAUCUUUGUCCCUAUUGUACACUAUAGUGGACAACUGAAUACUUCAUGACAAAAACUAGAAACAAGCUAGCUGUGAAAAUGCUUUGCAAUGGGUGAAUUCAUCUCACUCAGUUAAACCUUCGUUUUGAUUCAACAAGGGUGAAACACUCUUUUGGUAGAAUCUACAAAGAAACAUUUAUGAGCCCCUUGAGGACUAUAGUGAAAAAAUGAAUCUCCUGCAUUAAUAUCUAGAAACAAUCUAUUUGUGAAAAUGCUGUGUGAUGCAUGGAUCCAUCUCACAGAUUUCAAACUUUAUUUUGAUUCAACAGGCUGGAAACACUCUUGUUAUAGAAGCUACGAAGGGUCAUUUCUGAACCCAUUGAGGCCAAUAGUGAAAAACUAAAUAUC